AUGGUGCUGUGUGGGCGAAUGUCGAGAUCCCCGCACUACACGUCAAGCUGCAAUGGUGUCCGUGCCCAUUAUGUGGCAGAAGGGCAUGUUCUCCGCUUCAAGUUGGUGGAGUCUGAUAUGCUCUUCAUCAAUGUCUUCGGGCGUUCAGGUGCUCGCCUAGGGUACUGCGUGGAAAGCUCUAGCGAUGAUGAAAGCUCCUCCUCGAGCGAUAGCGACGAGGAGGACACUGACGGCGAAGACAGCGACGGCGAGCCCCGGUCGUCCAGCAUGAAGACGAUGACUCGGACUCCGAUUAAACACCGGGCACACCGUCACCGUCGGCUAGGCACCAGCAUCACAUCCAUCUGUAGCUAG
rnacentral:rRNA from 1 species